rnacentral:rRNA from 1 species
GAUAACGGCGUCGAGCGGCGGACGGGUGAGUAAUGCCUAGGAAAUUGCCCUGAUGUGGGGGAUAACCAUUGGAAACGAUGGCUAAUACCGCAUAAUGCCUACGGGCCAAAGAGGGGGACCUUCGGGCCUCUCGCGUCAGGAUAUGCCUAGGUGGGAUUAGCUAGUUGGUGAGGUAAUGGCUCACCAAGGCGACGAUCCCUAGCUGGUCUGAGAGGAUGAUCAGCCACACUGGAACUGAGACACGGUCCAGACUCCUACGGGAGGCAGCAGUGGGGAAUAUUGCACAAUGGGCGCAAGCCUGAUGCAGCCAUGCCGCGUGUGUGAAGAAGGCCUUCGGGUUGUAAAGCACUUUCAGUCGUGAGGAAGGUGGUGUAGUUAAUAGCUGCAUUAUUUGACGUUAGCGACAGAAGAAGCACCGGCUAACUCCGUGCCAGCAGCCGCGGUAAUACGGAGGGUGCGAGCGUUAAUCGGAAUUACUGGGCGUAAAGCGCAUGCAGGUGGUUUGUUAAGUCAGAUGUGAAAGCCCGGGGCUCAACCUCGGAAUAGCAUUUGAAACUGGCAGACUAGAGU